rnacentral:rRNA from 1 species
GACGGGGAGGCGCACAAGCAGUGGAGCAUGUGGUUUAAUUCGAUACAAAGCGAAACACCUCACCAGGAUUUGACAUGUAGCUGCAAGCGCACGGAAACGUGUGACCUUCGAGGGUGCUACACAGAUGCUGCAUGGUUGUCGUCAGCUCGUGGCGUGAGCUGUACCCUUAAGUGGGCUAACGAGCGCAACCCGCACCGUAUGUUAAAUUAUUCAUACGGAACUGCCCCGGUUUUCGGGGAGGAAGGCGCGGAUGACGUCAAAUCAGCACGGCUCUUACAUCCUGGGCUACACACAUCCUACAAUGGCGAAUAACAACGAGUUGCAAACCAGUAAUGGCAAGCUAAUUCUGAAAUUUCGCCCCAGUUCAGAUCGAGGGCUGCAAUUCGCCCUCGUGAAGUCGGAAUUGCUAGUAAUCGCGAAUCAGCAGGUCGCGGUGAAUACGUUCUCGCCUCUUGUACACACCGCCCGUCAAGGCAGCAAAGUUGGGGGCGCCCGAAUAACCCUACCGGGUUAGAAGGCGAAACCAGCGAUGAAGCUUAAGUCGUAACAAGGUAACC